GACGAACGCUGGCGGCGUGCUUAACACAUGCAAGUCGAACGGAAAGGCCCUGCUUUUGUGGGGUGCUCGAGUGGCGAACGGGUGAGUAACACGUGAGUAACCUGCCCUUGACUUUGGGAUAACUUCAGGAAACUGGGGCUAAUACCGGAUAGGAGCUCCUGCUGCAUGGUGGGGGUUGGAAAGUUUCGGCGGUUGGGGAUGGACUCGCGGCUUAUCAGCUUGUUGGUGGGGUAGUGGCUUACCAAGGCUUUGACGGGUAGCCGGCCUGAGAGGGUGACCGGCCACAUUGGGACUGAGAUACGGCCCAGACGCCUACGGGAGGCAGCAGUGGGGAAUAUGGCACAAUGGGAGGAAGCCUGAGGCAGCAACGCCGCGUGCGGGAUGACGGCCUUCGGGUUGUAAACCGCUUUCGCCUGUGACGAAGCGUGAGUGACGGUAAUGGGUAAAGAAGCACCGGCUAACUACGUG
rnacentral:rRNA from 1 species